rnacentral:rRNA from 1 species
AAAAGCACUUUGAAAAGAGAGUUAAAUAGGCCGCGAAAUCGUUAGGAGGGAAACGCAUGCAGCCGAACGGGCCCUCGCCGGGUUCACGGGUGGCCGGAGAGCCGGCACUUCGGCGGGCACCCCAAGGGGUCCCCGAGGUGGUGUGCGUCUUCGCAGCCCUGCACUCCCGGCGUUCCGGGCCGACCGAGGGCGGCGGUCAUGCGGGCGAUGUGGGCGACCGGGCAGGUGUCGCAGCCGGCCCACGUCGGAGGCGAACUUAGUAGCCGGUCGUUGCUUGGAGCCCGCGGACCGCCGAGGAGAGGGCGGCUGUUCGCCCCUUCAGCGCAGGCCCCUCGAGGGCCGGAGCGCUUCUGACCGUCCAGCCUUCGCUCCGCGAGACUGUUCGCAGUAUCCGGCGGCGUCGCGCGCGUUCGGUCGGGAGGUCGUCUCACGUCUUGCGCUGCAGCCUCUC